GGGCCCGCACAAGCAGCGGAGCGUGUGGUUUAAUUCGAUGAUACGCGAAGAACCUCACCCAGGUUUGACAUGCAUGUGGUACUGAUGUGAAAGCUGAGGGACCCUUCGGGGAGCAUGCACAGGUGUUGCACGGCCGUCGUCAGCUCGUGCCGUGAGGUGUUGGGUUAAGUCCCGCAACGAGCGCAACCCCUGUCGCCAGUUGUAUUUUUCUGGCGAGACUGCCGAGAAAACCUCGGAGGAAGGAGGGGACGAUGUCAGGUCAGCGUGGCCCUUACGCCUGGGGCUACACACACGCUACAAUGGGCAGUACAACGGGUCGCGAAGCCGCGAGGUGGAGCCAAUCCCAUCAAAGCUGUCCUCAGUUCGGAUUGCAGGCUGAAACCCGCCUGCAUGAAGCCGGAGUUGCUAGUAACCGCAGGUCAGCAUUACUGCGGUGAAUACGUUCCCGGGCCUU
rnacentral:rRNA from 1 species